rnacentral:rRNA from 1 species
AGUGAACGCUGGCGGCAGGCCUAACACAUGCAAGUCGAACGGAAGAACGGUGCUUGCUUGCGGUUUCCGGUGGGGACAGGGGGGUGGGUCACGGGAAUAUCCGUCCCUUGUGUUUCGUAGGGCUUCAAGUAGGCGCUAUUACUAUAUAAGAGCAUAUGCUGCACGGGGGGGAGCUUGGGACAUUACGGUCUUGGGUGAAUGUAUGAGCGGAUGACGAGUUAGCUGGUUGGGGGGGUAAAGGCCCACCAAGGCGACGAUCCGUAGCGUGUCUGAGAGACCGAUCAGCCACACUGGAACUGAGACACGGUCCAGACUCCUACGGGAGGCAGCAGUGGGGAAUAUUGGACAAAGGGCGCAAGCCUGAUCCAGCCAUGCCGCGUGUGUGAAGAAGGCCUUCGGAUUGUAAAGCCCGUUUUUUUGGAAAGAACAGCAGUAGGUUAAUACCCCGCUGUUCUGACGGUACCCAAAGAAUAAGCACCGGCUAACUUCGUG